AAACGUUUAUCUCAGCUAAACAAGACACUUCUUGCACACCAGUGCUUGCAUUCAGUAGCAGAAUGUGCGGGAAAGCAGAAGGGCAAUCCGGGACAAGAAUAUUUAGGCUACAAUACAGAAACUGAAGCUGUCUCUGAGGCUGCAGCAGCUCUUUCUGGGGAUGCAAACCUUCUCUGAAGGACUGGGAAAUGCAGAGCACAAAAGGACUGAGGAUUUUGUGUGGGAAACUGUGAGUGUGCUUUAAGAAAGGAAGAGUAUGAUUAGAGAACAACAGGCGGAUUUUAAAGUCUCACCUGCUCAGGAGCAAAAGAAGAAAAUUAUUUUUUAGAGGUGAACCAGAAGCCACGGGUUUGCCACCUUGGAAAUAAAUUUACAACAUCAGCAAAUGCUUUUUGAGUGCCCCAGUGAGUCAAAACCAUCUGAGAGCCCAGAGCUGAAGAGAUACUUUGCACAGUUGCUCAGUGACCCGAACUGCUGAGCCGGGCUCUGCCUGCCUCCCCUCCAGAGCUAAUGACCCUCUCAACCACAGCAGGACCUGGAUCCACACCAGGGAUGAGUCGGCUU
rnacentral:lncRNA from 1 species